UCAGUUUGUAGCUGGUUGGUGCACGAC
rnacentral:sRNA from 1 species